GUCCUUAUGGCUAAUAUCCAUAAGGGGUGAUGGUACCAAAGGAAUAAGCACCGGCUAACUUCGUGCCAGCAGCCGCGGUAAUACGAAGGGUGCAAGCGUUGUUCGGAAUCAUUGGGCGUAAAGCGCGCGCAGGCGGAUCAGCAAGUCAGAUGUGAAAUCUCGGAGCUCAACUCCGAAACUGCGUCUGAAACUGCUAGUCUAGAAUGUCGGAGGGGGCAGGGGAAUUUCACGUGUAGGGGUAAAAUCCGUAGAGAUGUGAAGGAACACCGGAGGCGAAGGCGCCUGCCUGGACGACUAUUGACGCUGAGGCGCGAAAGCGUGGGGAGCAAACAGGAUUAGAUACCCUGGUAGUCCACGCCGUAAACGAUGAACACUAGUUAUUGGAGGUAUUGACUCCUUCAGUGACGCAGCUAACGCAUUAAGUGUUCCGCCUGGGGAGUACGGUCGCAAGACUAAAACUCAAACAAAUUGACGGGGGCCCGCACAAGCGGUGGAUUAUGUGGUUUAAUUCGAAGCAACGCGCAGAACCUUACCUAGGCUUGAACUCCUCAGAAUCCGGGGUAAUGCCUGGAGUGCCCGCAAGGGAAUUGAGUGAGAGGUGCUGCAUGGCUGUCGUCAGCUCGUGUUGUGAAAUGUUGGGUUAAGUCUCGCAACGAGCGCAACCCCUAUCGUCUGUUGCCAGCAUUAAGUUGGGCACUCUGACGAGACUGCCUGGGUUAACCAGGAGGAAGGUGGGGAUGACGUCAAGUCCUCAUGGCCCUUAUGUCUAGGGCUACACACGUAAUACAAUGGCGCGUACAGAGGGAAGCGAACUCGCAAGGGGGAGCAAAUCUCAAAAAGCGCGUCUCAGUUCGGAUUGAAGUCUGCAACUCGACUUCAUGAA
rnacentral:rRNA from 1 species